ensembl:processed_transcript 1810021B22Rik RIKEN cDNA 1810021B22 gene
GUUCUUGAAGCGUCCGUCCGCACCACGGCCUGGAGUCUAGGGAGCCGUCAGCGCACUGGACCGGGACAGAAGCUAGGGAUCAUACGAGGCGCCCUUCUGGUUUCCUUGGAGAAUCGCAUGCCAAGUGGAGAGGCUCAAGGGCAGAACUAAAGGGACAAAAGCUGGCCCAGUCAGCCCCAGGCCAUCAGGACUUCCUACGUGUUCAGCUGCUUGUGACUGAGAGCCCGGAGACUGCGGAGCCAUUCCCCAGCCUGCGUUGCUCAAGCAGGUUCUGUGGCGCCACAGGAUGAGUGGGUGACGUAUCAGAGUCGGCAGAUGGAGUGCACCUUGGUUUAGCAGAGCAGCUGCUGGAGGGGCUUUUUGAGGAAUGUAGCCCCAUCGGGCCAGGUUCGUUUCACUGAGCCCUGGGUCUGAGGGCGAAGCCCUGCUGUGGACCUUCUGAUGAACAUAAAUGCAUCCUGACCACAACCAGCCAAGAGCCCUCCCUGGAUCCUGCCAGCUCUGUGGUCCCUGAUGAAGAUGUAGCUCUCAGCCCUGAUGAUGCAGCUCCCGUGCCCUGCCUGCCUGCCUGCCGCUCAACUCCCUAUCAUACUGUUCAUAGACUUACCCUCUGAAACUACAGCCAAUCCUCCAAUUAAAUGUUUUCUUCUUU